rnacentral:lncRNA from 1 species
AUUCAUAAACAGCAUUUUGCUUUAUAGAAUUUUAUGACUUUUUAGGUGAUUCUCAACUUUAGAUCAUAUUCGCCUCAAAAAGAUGAAAAUCUCUCUCUCUCUCUCUCUCUCUCUCUCUCUCUGACAUCGGGGGUUUCUCUCUUACAGUAAGCGCCUGACACUGACAAUGUGGACAUCAGCGAGGAAUAUAUAGUGCAUCAUCUAUAUUCGCAUCGUGUUAUCAGCGCACUGAACUCCAUUAUUACCAGAGUGGUGAGUGGAAGGAGAGAGUCCUGCCUUCCCCCCUCCCUGCCCAUUCCAUCAUCCGCAGAGCAUCUUUCAUGCGUCUCCCUGGGCCCCAAUCCCACAUCAGGAUGAACUGUGAGCAGGAUUUUGGAGAUGGAGGCAUGAACGUCACUCUAACUCUCCGGCUGCUCAUGCACGGCAAGGUAAACUCACACACUUACACCACAAACAUUUAGUGUUUUCAGUGCAAGACGACCCUGAGAGUAGCAGCCCGGUGUUUCAAUUUCAAAAUGAUUCUGUGCUCUGUACAGAAACCUCUUAUGAAAAUAUAGUCAGACUGAAGCACAGUGUUAUUUUGUUAGCAAUGUAGAUGGGUGUCACAACCCAUUCAUACAGAGAUAUUUUAAUAUAACCUCUGAUUUAACUUACCGAUAGUGUUGGGAAGUGAGAUUUUGAUGUUUCAGAUUAAAAUAAUGAUUUGACUGCUUCCAACGUAAUUUUCCAUGUGGGAAUUUACAUAUUUAAACAAUGUAAACAAAACAAAAAAUUGAUGUGCGUCAAAGACUUUUUUUUUUUCAAAGCAUCAAAAUAAAGUUUAAUACUGCUUUUUUUUCACAUUAGAAUGUGUCCUGUUUAAUUUAUUUUUUUCUGAACAAAAAAAAAUAAAAAUAAAAAAAUGACUGUCAUACAUCUUUACUAUGAUUUACAAUAGGCACAGACUAAAAUGUGAUUCAGUGUAACAAAAGUUCAUAUAAC